GGCAACUUGGCCGAGUGGUUAAGGCGCUAGAAUCAGGCCAUUGUGUGUCUAAUCUAGUUCGAAAGAGCGUGAGUUCGAGUCUCACAGUUGUCA